rnacentral:rRNA from 1 species
CAGCCGCCGCGGUAAUACGAAGGGGGCUAGCGUUGUUCGGAAUUACUGGGCGUAAAGCGCACGUAGGCGGAUAUUUAAGUCAGGGGUGAAAUCCCGCAGCUCAACUGCGGAACUGCCUUUGAUACUGGGUAUCUUGAGUAUGGAAGAGGUUAGUGGAAUUGCGAGUGUAGAGGUGAAAUUCGUAGAUAUUCGCAGGAACACCAGUGGCGAAGGCGGCUAACUGGUCCAUAACUGACGCUGAGGUGCGAAAGCGUGGGGAGCAAACAGGAUUAGAUACCCCGGUAGUCCCUUGUCUCUUAUU